GAUGAACGCUGGCGGCGUGCUUAAUACAUGCAAGUCGAGCGAACAGAUGAGGAGCUUGCUCCUCUGACGUUAGCGGCGGACGGGUGAGUAACACGUGGAUAACCUACCUAUAAGACUGGGAUAACUUCGGGAAACCGGAGCUAAUACCGGAUAAUAUAUUGAACCGCAUGGUUCAAUAGUGAAAGACGGUUUUGCGGUCACUUAUAGAUGGAUCUGCGCCGCAUUAGCUAGUUGGUAAGUUAAAGGCUUACCAAGGCAACGAUGCGUAGACGACCUCAGAGAGGGAUAGCCCGCACUGGAACUGAGCCACGCUCCAGACGCCUACGGGAGGCAGCAGUAGGGAAUCUGACGCAGUGGGCGAAAGCCUUACGGAGCAACGCCAAGUGAGAUAUGAAGAUCUUCGGUUCGUAAAGCUCUGUUAUUAGGUAAAAACAAAUGUGUACGUAACUAUGCACGUAUUGACGGUACCUAAUCAGAAAGCCACGGCUAACUACGUG
rnacentral:rRNA from 1 species